AGUGUUGCCCUUUUUGCAUCCACAGGAUUUUCUUGUGGAGAGGCUGUCCAAGCAUGCAGUAAGUUUUCUCCUCUGUUACCUUUUGACUGCAGAGAAGACAGCUAAUAUCCCUAUCUUCCCCAGACCCUGAGGACCCUGUGCUCCUCUUCCCAGUUGAAGCAGAGAGGAGAAGGAGACAAGGUAUGAAGCAGCAAAGACCUUACUUAUGAACCAAACAAAGCUACCUGGGCGUGGCAGAUACGGAAACUGAUGUUCAGAGGCAUUAAGGAACUUGUGCCCAUCCUCACUCAGCUAAUAAGUGCCAGAGCUGUGAUUUGAACCCAGUUCUCUCUGAUUCCAGAACCCAAAGAUUUUUUCCACAGCAGCCCACUGCUUCCAGGGAAAAGGGUUCACGAUUAAGAGACGAGGAGUGAGCUCUUGGAUGAAUAGUACCAGCUCGGGCAGAGGAAAGAGAUCCCGGUCUCGCCUCACAGUGCCUCCUCUCAGACCCACCACCCCACAGAGAGGAGACUGGCAGGCAAGAGCUGGGGACCAAGCUCUUUCCCUCAGGACUGAAAUGGGAGUGAAGAGCCCAAGCCCGGAGUUUUGAGGUGAAAAAUCCUUGUUAAAACCUAAUCAAAGUUUAUGUUUCAGACGAAAGGCAUGCUGGAAAUACAUAGUAUAAUUAUCCAGAAGGCAAUUUGAUAGUAAGUUUUGAUCUUUUAGAUGCUAACCUGCCAUAUCUAUAAACAAAACUACCACGAAAAUGGUCAUGAUAUAUUGCUUAGAAAAAGGUAGAAUAAAACUUAUAUAUACAAUGUGAUUCCAAUCAUGUUUAAAAUCAUGUUUAUUUACAGCAGCAGAAUUACAGAACCCAAAAAUGGACUAACAGGUACC